rnacentral:miRNA from 1 species
AGAAUUGUAUCUGGACAUCUGU